AAAUCUUGACCAUUUAUGAUAAAAUAUAUGAAUAGGAUGAUUAUGGAGCUAAACUGUACUGUUCAAAUAAUAGAAUAAGUGUGUGUUUGGGCACAAUAAAAAAUAUAUAGAAGAAUAGAUGAUAUAUUAAUUUAUUAAUUCCCAAAAUCUUUUAUGUCUAGCUAUAUAUAUCACCAUUCAUCUUCUCAAAUGGCAUAUAUUGAACAUGAGAGAAUUAUUCAUACUUGUUAGAAAGAUGACGAAAUUGAAUGUGGCAAACAUUUUCUCCGUUCUUUUGGUUUCAGUUGUGUUGAUGACAAGUCAUGUGACUGAAGCUGUAAAGUUGUGUAAUGAAAUGUGGGCUGAUUAUUUUAAUUGCAACAAAAAAAGUUGUCAAAAGGAAUGCAAUCGCAAGCAUGAUCCUUAUGCCGUUGGACAUUGCGUUGACUAUCCCCACUGUUUAUGCAUCUAUGCAUGCUGAUAUGUAGUUUACAAUAAUCAAUAAGAUUGGCCAACGAAAAAUAAUUUACAGAAGCCAAAGGAAGAAUUAACCCCAAAAAAAAAAAAAACUAAAAUUGUAAAAUUAUUAAGGAAUUUCUCUCUUUUAAGAACUCAUCAUUUUCCUUAAUACUCUCGUUACUGCCACUACAAAAAAAAUAAAAAAUAAAGUGAUAUUUAUAUUAUGAUACUUUUAAAAAAUAUUAUGAUAUUUUUUGUUACUACUGUAUGUAAAUAAUUUUGUAUUUAGUGGCAAUUUUGAUGAUUAUAACAGUUUUAAACUGUUUAGGGUUUAGGAUUUAGGGUUUAAUAUAUCAAAAAUAUUACAAUUCCUAAUUGAAAUACUAUGCAUAUACAUACGACUGCUCGCUCGAUCGAUAUCUUUUCUAUCUCUCCCUCGUCGUCCUCCUAUAUCCGUCGCUACCGCUUUCACCCUCCAUUGUCGUUGCCUCUAUAACGGAUUUGAAAGUUCCAAGCCACACACGCACUUUCUUUCCCAUAGUCGCUUCUCCAUUGUCAAAGUUGUUUCCCUAUAGACGCUAUCCCUGGCCAGAGCGACGAUCUCGGAUCCUCUUUCAUUUUUCGACGACAAUCUUUUUCGGUGACAUCUCCUUUGACAACGACCUCCUUCGACGACAUCUCCUUUCCCAUGGUAAUCUCCUCCGAUGACGUCUCCUCUAGCUUCCUCGCUCUCCUUUUCAUCCUAACUUUGCGUCUUUUCCGCCAAAAUUCUCAGUACCUCCUAGCUCAGCGUCUUCUCUCCAGUGACAUCUCCGCCACUCUGAAGUUUAAACUCUUAACUAUGCAUGUACCACAAUCUGGCAUUCACCAUGCACUUAAUUAGGGUUUUCUUUCCUUAAUUAAUCUUUAAUUUUCUUUUAAUUUAUUUUGUAUCUCACUGCAGCUACAUAGCAGUGGCAGCGCAUCGUGGAUGUUAUCUUAUCGUCCUUGCCGUGGAGCUACUUCAACCCAUAUAUUUCUGUCCUUUCACUCCCUUGUGAAUGAUUCUGCUGCUGAGAAAAGAGAAACUCCCAUCGAGGUGAUCUCUAGCCAUUUACAAGUUGAUCACGUUGUGGUCAUAUGUGUUCUACUCAUCAUAUCCCAUUCUUAUAAAUGCAUUCAUGAGCCCAUUUUUCGAGGGUUCUUUAAUAUGAUAACCUUGUUUAUAGAAUAUUUUGUUGUUGUUUUGUGUGUUUGUACCAGUGAUUCUGCUUUCUCUUGCUUAUUCUUUUUGUUGUGUCACUACAAGAAAAAUACCCAUUCAAGUACACUUGAAAAGUGUAGCCAAAAGUAAAAAAAAAAAAUGAUGUCUUAGGUUACGGUUACGUUUUCUGGGCUACGGCUAUGUUUUUUGGGAUGAUUCCUAUUCGGCCGUAGCCUAUUCUUAAAGGCCACACUUUUCUGCACCAAAGGCUAUGUUUUUGGCGUUUGGGAAUAGGGUGCGCUUUUCAAAUGAUGCUGUCCAGGACCAAAGGCUACGCUUUUCAGCUUCCAUUUUUACUAGAAUAGGCUACGCUUUUCAGUGCUACUGCAUCACCUAUAAAGCGUAACCACAUUGUAUACCAUAGCUACUCUAUAUAAGUGUAGU